CUACGGGAGGCUCCAGUGGGGAAUAUUGCACAAUGGGGGGAACCCUGAUGCAGCAACGCCGCGUGGAGGAUGACGCCUUUCGGUGUGUAAACUCCUUUUAUAUGUCAAGAAAAUGACGGUAGCAUAUGAAUAAGCACCGGCUAACUCCGUGCCGGCAGCCGCGUGUAAUACGGAGGGUGCAAGCGUUACUCGGAAUCACUGGGCGUAAAGGACGCGUAGGCGGGUUGGAAAGUCAGGUGUGAAAUCCUACAGCUUAACUGUAGAACUGCACUUGAAACUUCUAAUCUAGAGUAUGGGAGGGGGAGAUGGAAUUAGUGGUGUAGGGGUAAAAUCCGUAGAUAUCACUAGGAAUACCUAAAGCGAAGGCGAUCUCCUGGAACAUUACUGACGCUAAGGCGUGAAAGCGUGGGGAGCAAACAGGAUUAGAUACCCGAGUAGUC
rnacentral:rRNA from 1 species